GAUGACUACCAGAGAAGUGGCUGCGUGAGCCCUACUCGGCAAUUUAUCAGUAGGACACGCCACCAGUCAUACAAGGAGAAUGGUCUAAUGCCUCCCAUCAAAAAUAGAGCUGGCCCAAGCAAGCACAGUUUACACCUGAAGCAUGAGGACUUGCAGUGAGUGCUGAACUUCAACAACUACUCAGAGGAUAAUGCAAUAGUAUUACCAGAACACCACUGGUGGAAACUGCUGCCAUCCCACGUGACAAAAACAGCAGUGUGGCGUCUCCGCAAGGAUUCGAUGACAACACUUGGUGCACUAUCCUUCUGACCCUAUGCAGCCAGGUCCCAUCUACUUUCUAUCUCCUCGCAACUGCAGUGCCCAAAACAAGAACAAGUUUGUGCUCUGGUACUGUGCCUGGCGGAUCAUGCACAAGCUCCACCACAGUUUUGACCUUCACUUCCUGAUCACAGGCCACGCAAAGUUUGCCCCUGACUGAUGUGUGGGCAUCAACAAGCAGCGCUUCAGAAAGAACAGAGUGAACACUUUGUCUGAGAUUGGUGUUGUGACUGGUGUUGUGAAGGACAGCACUGUGACAGGGGUCAACAUCCCACAGCUGUUGGACUGGAGGAUGGUACGGUGCUGGUGGAAAGCUAUGGCUGGCAACAACACCUCCAUACUCCAGACUGCUGCCACAGUUCAAGCAGUACCAGCACUUCAG
ensembl:lncRNA